UUAAAUCUGAACAUAUUUGAAUCUCAAAUUAUGUAUUGUUAUAACCUCUCAAUUUUUUAAAGACAUCUGCAUUUUAUUAAAUAAUACCUUAGGACAAAUGUAGUGAAUUUUACAAUAUCAAAUUUGAUUUAAUCACCCCACUGGUAUUUAUAACUUAUUUUGAAUAUUGUUACAAAUAAUUUGCUCAUAAUUUAUAUUUCAAAGCUCAAAGACUAUCAUGUCCCAGAGAAAGGUCAUUGUAGCUAUCUGAUUUAUUAGCUUUGCAUUGGAUCCCCAUUUUACAAUUCAUGUGGGGUGGCAAGGUUCAUGUAUAGUACAAAAUAAGCGAGUAGAGAAGAGAAACAUAGCAGCUGAGGUCAGGAGAGAUGUGGAGAGCAGGUUACCUAGGGUCUCUAAAGGCUUUAAAAUAAAAAUAGUUUUAUUCUGAGAUAGAAAUCUAUUGGAAAAAUUUCAACAGGUGAUUGAAUAUGUGAGGAACUUUGAUGUUGAUUUGUGCUUCUAAUACAGAAGAAAGAAAGCAUUCCACUGUGUAGAAUUUGCCACCACUAGUCCUGCCCCAACUUUUUUUUUUUUUUUUUUUUUUUUUUUGAGACUUCAGUAGGUUGUGAAGCAUUACAGAUUCAUUAGGGGACAAAUGACUAGUGGGAUGAAUCUGGUGUCUAGUAAGAGACUACCAGUUUGGCAGGAAGAUAACACCUUCUUUUGUCCUUGAGUGGAUUCAGUAAUAAGCAGCAAUGUGUACAAAUGAAGAAAAUAAGCUGAAUCAAUAUAUUUGGGGAUUUUUUUUUAAAAGUAAAUAUUGUUAAUUUGAUAAGAUAAUUUACAAAAUCAAUAACAAAUAUGUCUUGUCAGGUCAUUGUGAAACAACUUCAAAAACGAUUGGCUGAUCUCAAUAAACAGUGUGUGUCAGACCUCACUAGAACUUACACCACAUCAUCACAUUAAUCUCAAAGAUGAGAUAUAGGAUUUAAUGAAGAAAUGAUUUCAAGUCAAAAGUCAAAACUCAUGAGAGACAAGCAGAGACCAGUAAGAAACUUCUUUUGGAGAAACAACAGACCAGAUCUUUAUUCACAACUCAUGCUAGGAGGCCAGUCCCAGAAUUACCUUGUGUUGGAACUCUUACCAAUAGUUUGA
rnacentral:lncRNA from 1 species